rnacentral:lncRNA from 1 species
CAGCCUCUCUGCCAGCCUGGUCCAAGACUUGUUUUGGUAAGGAUGACAUGCUUAUACAGGUCUAGUCAAUAACAGGUCCUUUGUUCUGUCUCCUAGACCUCUGGGUGCCACUGUACGGACAUGUCCAGCUUGGCAGGCAGCUGGCAUCUCAAGGAUCUGGGUUGUUAUCAGAUGGACACUCACCAAACAGAGUCCCUCCUGGCCCGGUGGUGUGUGCUGCUGUGCACGUAGGCCUGCAUGCCUCAUAUCUGUGCCCAGCAAUUACAUCCCAAGCACCCUGCCCCAUUCCAAGGCAGCCGGAGCCAGCUGGGACACUGUGCCCGGGGUGGGAGCCAGGUAGUUUUCCUCCUUUCAUCCUUUUUGAUUCCAUAAGCAUUUUCUUCUAAGCUUGGGCUCUCACAGCAGUGUCCGACAUGGGAAAACAAACCCAGAAGGCAGGAACUGAGCUGCAUCUGCUCGUAGUGCUGCCUUUUGCUGUUCUGAAAUGGAGCCAAAAGGCACAGCCUCUGCCCUCCAGAACAGGAAGCCUGCAAGCAGCGUGUGCUUUCUGCAGCACUGCCUGCUCGCUUCUUCCACCCCCAACCCAGUCCGUCCACCUGCCUGACCAAGAGUGUGUGAUGUGCCCGACCUGCAGAUGGUAAGUGUCCCUGGCAACCAAAAUCUCUCAAACCAUUCCAACCCUGCCACCCUUCGAGUCCCAGCAUCACUGAGGUCCUUUCAGUGAAGAAUUGGCUAACAUUUUAGAUGUCUCUGAAUGCAAAUUUUUAUUCACAUUUAAUAAGGUGGUUUUGUGUGUUAAUGGAAAAUGAAAUAAACAUCAACAAUCACAUUAUUCA